ACUCCKACGGGAGGCAGCAGUGGGGAAUCUUGCACAAUGGGGGCAACCCUGAUGCAGCGACGCCGCGUGAGCGAUGAAGCCCUUCGGGGCGUAAAGCUCUUUCGGCCGGAACGAUAAUGACGGURCCGGAAGAAGAAGCUGCGGCUAACUACGUGCCAGCAGCCGCGGUAAUACGUAGGCRGCARGCGUUGUUCGGAGUUACUGGGCGUAAAGAGUGCGUAGGCGGUUUCCUAAGKUCGGUGUGAAAUCUCCCGGCUUAACUGGGAGGGUGCGCCGAASACUGGGGAGCUGGARUGUGGGAAAGGCAAGCGGAAUUCCUGGUGUAGCGGUGAAAUGCGUAGAUAUCAGGAGGAACACCGGCGGUGUAGACGGCUUGCUAGACCAUAACUGACGCUGAGGCACGAAAGCKUGGGUAGCAAACAGGAUUAGAUACCCUGGUAGUCCACGCCCUAAACGAUGCRKACUUGGUGUGGGCAGUUCAUUCUGUCCGUGCSGGAGCUAACGCGKURAGUAWGYCGCCUGGGGAGUACGSUCGCAAGGYUGARACUCAAWGGAAUUGACKG
rnacentral:rRNA from 1 species